CUUAACAAUUGGUUUCUCCAA
ensembl:piRNA 21ur-15597 ncRNA